CCCGAGUGGAGUGGAAUGGAAUGCAAUGGAGUGGAAUGCAAUUUAAUGGAAUUCAAUGGAAUGGAAAAGAAUGGAAUUGAAUCAACAAGUGGAGUGGAAUGGAAUGGAAUGGAUUGGAAUGGAAUGGAAUGGAAUGGAAUGGAAUGGAAUGGAAUGGAAUGGAAUGGAGUGGAAUGGAAUGGAAUAGAAUGGAAUUGAAUCAACAAUAGUGGAAUGGAAUGGAAUGGAAUGGAAUAGAAUGGAAUGGAAUGGAAUGGAAUGGAAUGGAAUGGAAUGGAAUGGAAUGGAAUGGAAUGGAAUUAAAAGGAAUAGAAUGGAAUUGAAUCACUCC
rnacentral:lncRNA from 1 species